GUAAUUUGUCCAGAGCCGGUCAGGUAAUGAUGUCACAAGCCAAAUAAGCAGAUGGGACAAAGUAAUUUUCUAUUGUCAUCUGAACACAAAUAAGUUAGUGCAAUAAUCAUGCAAAAACCUGAUGGUUGGGGCAACACAUACGAACAAGGCGACCUAUAAUUAGAGAAACAAAGUGGCUUGGUAUAAUGUUACACUUCUCUGUAUGCACCGAAGCAUCAGGUCUUGCCAAAAAGCUUUAAAAUGGUUGGUGUCUCGCAUCUUUCAGUCUUCUUGGAACGUCCCUUGCAUAUACCCAUUGGUCAGAGUUCAUAAAAUCGUUAUAGUGAAUAAUGCUAUAAAACUAUAGAGAUAAAACUGAAAGCAAGAACUGGGCUUAUCACAUCCUUUACUGGCAUGCAUGAUCAUGAAUUUUGGAAUCAGUAACCUAACAAUUAAGUGGAAUACUUAUAAAAAAAGGCAAUGGGUUAAUCUCAAACAAUAUACUUGCAGGAAGCUUGCAGAAUGAACUGCUUGAGCUUAAAGACAUAUUUUACAACUACAAAUUGUAGUUGGCAAAACAUUAAAACAUGGAUAGAUUCUUACCAACAACCCGCUGAAUGAGGCAUGAUGGUCCAAGAGAAAUAAAGCAAUGUUGUUUCCUAGAGGAGAACACACACCGAUUCCCUAUACUCAUGUCAUGUAUGCCUUGCUUGAGUCCAUGUAUAUUUAAUGUGCUCUUUCGCUAGAGAAUAUUAUUAGUUACACUAAGUUUUCUUUUCCGAAAUAGUCACCAAAAAAAUCACUAUCAUAUUUAUAUAUAGCCAUUGUUUUCGGGAAGAACUCAAUUCUGCUUUUUGCCAGUUCUGAAUUUGUUUUCUAGCAUGCAUACUUGUAGUCUAUAACACUGAACACCAUGACCAUUAGCUUUUUAGCUUCUUUUCUCACAACUUACCAGCUAGUGAAAUGACAUGGGUGCAAUGUACGAAUCUAUUACAUAGUCCUAAAACCAGUAAUUGGCUAUCUAUAUGUCCAGCAAAUGUAAUCUGCACAUGAAAGAACCUAAGCAUGGAUUUCAUGAUCUAUAUAACACACUUAUAACUCCAAAUAGCUUAUUAUCUUCAACAAAAUUGGUCUAUUACAAUCAAUUUAGAGCAGAACACAAUCUACUACUGACGUGGAGGAACUAAAUUUUUGGAACGAAAUAAAAAUUUGUAAUGUCAGUAUUAAACUUGUAGUUUAGCUAUGAUCAAAACUACUAAAUUUUGGACCGAAAUCAAAAUUUAAUACACAAUAAUUUGCCUCAAGAUAGUAAAUUGCUACGUAGUUAUAUAAACUGACCAAGAGUAGGCGAUACUGAACAGCUCCGGUGGCGAAGACCUGGUUGCCGACCAUCAUGAUGAAAGGAGAUGCAUGGCGCAUCAACAUGCAUGCCAAUGGCGAAAGGUAACCUGACAUCGAGGAACACCAGCGACACUACAUGACUACUUGGCCUAUUCGAAUCCACGACCACCCACCU
rnacentral:lncRNA from 1 species